CGAAAAGCGUAGAUAAGAAAUAGUACCUUUUAUGGCUAUCCAUAGAGAGUCGGUGGUUGGUGAAAACCGAUGUUAGUAUAAUAGGGAAUCCAUCUUGGAGCAAACUAGUCGAAAUUUAGCAGUAAACUAGUUCGGUCGAGGUCCGUUAAACCUUAUAAUGAAGCUGGAGAUGUGUUUUAAGCAUCUCAAUUAGGGUGGCAACGCGGUCUACUUCCGUCCCUUCU
rnacentral:ncRNA from 1 species